UUGACCUCGGAUCAGGUAGGGAUACCCGCUGAACUUAAGCAUAUCAAUAAGCGGAGGAAAAGAAGCCAACAGGGAUUGCCCCAGUAACGGCGAGUGAAGCGGCAAAAGCUCAAAUUUGAAAGCUAGCACCUUCGGUGUUCGCGUUGUAAUUUGAAGAUAGUUUCCUUGAGUAGUCCUUUAUCUAUGUUCCUUGAAACAGGACGUCAUAGAGGGUGAGAACCCCGUAUGAUUUUGGAUACUACUCUUUGUGGGAUUCUAUCGAAGAGUC
rnacentral:rRNA from 1 species